UGCUGGCUCACAGCACUCAAGAGGCUGAGGCAGGAGGAUUGCUGAGAGUCUAAGGAAAAUGUGAUACUUGGCCAGCUAUGAAGAGAGCAGAAACAGUAACAGGCACAUGUUCCUACUUGAAGAUGGAGUCAGAUCGUUAAAGUAGACGUGAAGGCUCCAACAUGACAGCGAUUCCAAAUAUAGAGGUCAUUACAGGGGAAAAGGACAAUAUAGCAAGAACGGGAAGAGUCUGAAGAGACCAGAGGCAAGCUCCAGUUGUCCCCAAGAGGACUUUCUGUCUAUAACCUGAAACCACAAAAGUUUAACUUCAGAGGCCCAGGUGAGGGUGUGUGUGUGUGUGGGGGCACGACAAGGGACUUCUGGCAACAAAGCCAGGUUCAAGUCAUUAAUCAACUAAUGGCCCCAAAUACUCCCAUCCAAAAUACCUAGAAAAAGCUUAUAAUUUGACAAACAUAAGAAACCUCAAUUUAAAAUUGGCCAAAGCAUCUUAAAAGUCAUUUCUUUAAAGAAGAUACAAUGAAUAUUGACGACAUGAAAAGAUACUCAAGCAAACCAGAGCCACACACACAC
rnacentral:lncRNA from 1 species